rnacentral:rRNA from 1 species
GGGGAGUUUUGGACAAUGGGCGCAAGCCUAAUCCAGCCAUGCCGCGUGAGUGAAGAAGGCCUUCGGGUUGUAAAGCUCUUUCGGACGGGAAGAAAUGGAGGGCUCUAACAUAACCUGUCGAUGACGGUACCGUAAGAAGAAGCACCGGCUAACUACGUUCCAGCAGCCGCGGUAAUACGUAGGGAGCAAGCGUUGUACGGCUUUAAUGGGCGUAACGGGCGCGUAGGCGGCGCGGUAAGUCACUUGUGAAAUCUCUGAGCUUAACUCAGAACGGCCAAGUGAUACUGCUGUGCUAGAGUGCGGAAGAGGCAACCGGAAUUCUUGGUGUGGCGGUGAAAUGCGUAGAUAUCAAGAGGAACACCUGAGGCGAAGGCGGGUUGCUGGGCCGACACUGACGCUGAUGCGCGAAAGCCAGG